rnacentral:rRNA from 1 species
AUUGAACGCUGGCGGCAUGCUUUACACAUGCAAGUCGAACGGCAGCGCGGGCUUCGGCCUGGCGGCGAGUGGCGAACGGGUGAGUAAUACAUCGGAACGUGCCCAGUAGUGGGGGAUAGCUCGGCGAAAGCCGGAUUAAUACCGCAUACGACCUGAGGGUGAAAGCGGGGGAUCUUCGGACCUCGCGCUAUUGGAGCGGCCGAUGGCAGAUUAGCUAGUUGGUGGGGUAAAGACCUACCAAGGCGACGAUCUGUAGCUGGUCUGAGAGGACGACCAGCCACACUGGGACUGAGACACGGCCCAGACUCCUACGGGAGGCAGCAGUGGGGAAUUUUGGACAAUGGGCGAAAGCCUGAUCCAGCAAUGCCGCGUGUGUGAUGAAGGCCUUCGGGUUGUAAAGCACUUUUGGCGGGAACGAAAAGGACUGUGCCAAUACCACGGUUCGAUGACGGUACCCGCAGAAUAAGCACCGGCUAACUACGUG